rnacentral:rRNA from 1 species
AGGGAAUAGAUACCCAGGUAGUCCCAGCUGUAAACGAUGCAGGCUAGGUGUUUGGACGGCCACGUGCCGUUCUAGUGCCGCAGGGAAGCUGUUAAGCCUGCCGCCUGGGGAGUACGAUCGCAAGAUUGAAACUUAAAGGAAUUGGCGGGGGAGCACCACAAGGGGUGAAGCUUGCGGUUUAAUUGGAGUCAACGCCGGAAAUCUCACCGGGAGCGACAGCAGUGUGAAGGCCAGAUUAAAGGUCUUGCCAGACGAGCUGAGAGGAGGUGCAUGGCCGUCGCCAGUUCGUGCCGUGAGGUGUCCUGUUAAGUCAGGCAACGAUCGAGACCCGCAUCCUCUGUUGCAACCAGUUUUGCGCUGGGCACACUGAGGAGACCGCCACUGAUAAAGUGGAGGAAGGAGCGGGCCACGGCAGGUCAGUAUGCCCCGAAUCUCCCGGGCCACACGCGAGCUGCAAUGGCAGGUACAAUGGGUUCCGACCUCGAAAGGGGAAGGCAAUCUCGAAAACCUGCCGUAGUU